GACGAACGCUGGCGGCGUGCCUAACACAUGCAAGUCGAGCGGAGACAGCAAGUAGCAAUACGAACUGUUUUAGCGGCGGACGGGUGAGUAACGCGUGAGCAACCUGUCCCAAACAGGGGGAUAACGAACCGAAAGGUUCACUAAUACCGCAUAAGACCACAGAGUCACAUGGCUCAGGGGUCAAAGGAGAAAUCCGGUUUGGGGUGGGCUCGCGUCUGAUUAGCUAGUUGGUGGGGUAACGGCCUACCAAGGCGACGAUCAGUAGCCGACCUGAGAGGGUGAUCGGCCACAUUGGAACUGAGACACGGUCCAAACUCCUACGGGAGGCAGCAGUGGGGAAUAUUGGGCAAUGGGCGAAAGCCUGACCCAGCAACGCCGCGUGAAGGAAGAAGGUUUUCGGAUCGUAAACUUCUAUCCUUGGUGAAGAUAAUGACGGUAGCCAAGAAGGAAGCCCCGGCUAACUACGUGCCAGCAGCCGCGGUAAAGUGUGACUG
rnacentral:rRNA from 1 species